UACGUAGGGUGCGAGCGUUAAUCGGAAUUACUGGGCGUAAAGCGUGCGCAGGCGGUUUUGUAAGCCAGAUGUGAAAUCCCCGGGCUUAACCUGGGAAUGGCAUUUGGGACUGCAAGGCUUGAGUGCGGCAGAGGAGACUGGAAUUCCUGGUGUAGCAGUGAAAUGCGUAGAUAUUGGGAAGAACACCGGUGGCGAAGGCGGCUCACUGGCUCGUAUCUGACGCUCAGGCGCGACAGCGUGGGGAUCAAACAGG
rnacentral:rRNA from 1 species